CCUACGGGAGGCAGCAGUGAGGAAUAUUGGUCAAUGGACGAGAGUCUGAACCAUCCAAGUAGCGUGAAGGAUGACUGCCCUAUGGGUUGUAAACUUCUUUUAUAUGGGAAUAAAAUGUUCCACGUGUGGGAUUUUGUAUGUACCAUAUGAAUAAGGAUCGGCUAACUCCGUGCCAGCAGCCGCGGUAAUACGGAGGAUCCGAGCGUUAUCCGGAUUUAUUGGGUUUAAAGGGUGCGUAGGUGGUUUGUUAAGUCAGUGGUGAAAGUUUGCGGCUCAACCGUAAAAUUGCAGUUGAUACUGGCAGUCUUGAGAACAGUAGAGGUGGGCGGAAUGCGGGGUGUAGCGGUGAAAUGCUUAGAGAUCAUGAAGAACUCCGAUUGCGAAGGCAGUUCACUAGACUGCAACUGACACUGAGGCACGAAAGUGUGGGUAGCAAACAGGAUUAGAUACCCUUGUAGUC
rnacentral:rRNA from 1 species